UCCUACGGGAGGCAGCAGUGGGGAAUUUUGCACAAUGGGCGGAAGCCUGAUGCAGCGACGCCGUGUGGGGGAUGAAGGCCUUCGGGUUGUAAACUCCUUUCGUCAGGGACGAAGUUUUUUUGACGGUACCUGGAUAAGAAGCACCGGCUAACUACGUGCCAGCAGCCGCGGUAAU
rnacentral:rRNA from 1 species